UACGGAGGGUGCGAGCGUUACUCGGAAUCACUGGGCGUAAAGGACGCGUAGGCGGGUUGUCAAGUCAGGUGUGAAAUCCUACAGCUUAACUGUAGAACUGCACUUGAAACUGGCAACCUAGAGUAUGGGAGGGGGAGAUGGAAUUAGUGGUGUAGGGGUAAAAUCCGUAGAUAUCACUAGGAAUACCUAAAGCGAAGGCGAUCUCCUGGAACAUUACUGACGCUAAGGCGUGAAAGCGUGGGGAGCAAACAGGAUUAGAUACCCUGGUAGUCCACGCCCUAAACGAUGAACACUAGUCGUCGCGAUGCUUGUCAUUGCGGUGAUGCACUUAACAGAUUAAGUGUUCCGCCUGGGGAGUACGGUCGCAAGAUUAAA
rnacentral:rRNA from 1 species